UACGUAGGGUGCAAGCGUUGUUCGGAAUUACUGGGCGUAAAGCGUGCGCAGGCGGUUCGUGAUGUCUGAUGUGAAAGCCCCGGGCUCAACCUGGGAAUGGCAUUGGAAACUAGCGGGCUGGAGUGUGGCAGAGGGGGGUGGAAUUCCACGUGUAGCAGUGAAAUGCGUAGAGAUGUGGAGGAACACCGAUGGCGAAGGCAGCCCCCUGGGCUAACACUGACGCUCAUGCACGAAAGCGUGGGGAGCAAACAGG
rnacentral:rRNA from 1 species